rnacentral:rRNA from 1 species
AACGAACGCUGGCGGCAUGCCUAACACAUGCAAGUCGAACGAGACCUUCGGGUCUAGUGGCGCACGGGUGCGUAACGCGUGGGAACCUGCCCUUAGGUUCGGAAUAACUCCCCGAAAGGGGUGCUAAUACCGGAUAAUGUCUUCGGACCAAAGAUUUAUCGCCUUUGGAUGGGCCCGCGUUGGAUUAGCUAGUUGGUGGGGUAAAAGCCUACCAAGGCGACGAUCCAUAGCUGGUCUGAGAGGAUGAUCAGCCACACUGGGACUGAGACACGGCCCAGACUCGUACGGGAGGCAGCAGUGGGGAAUAUUGGACAAGGGGCGAAAGCCUGAUCCAGCAAUGCCGCGUGAGUGAUGAAGGCCUUAGGGUUGUAAAGCUCUUUUACCCGGGAUGAUAAUGACAGUACCGGGAGAAUAAGCUCCGGCUAACUCCGUG